rnacentral:lncRNA from 1 species
CAUGCAGGGAGCCCGAUGUGGGACUCGAUCUGCCAUGAUCCCAGGUCUCCAGGAUCAUGCCCUGGGCUGAAGGCAGAGGCUCAACCACUGAGCUCCCCCAGGCGUCCCCAUACUAAGUGUUCUUUGCAUUGUCCUGGGCCUGGGGACCAAAAGCAGGCCCACUCUGGCAGCAAGAGGUAGGAGCUAUGGCUUUGUGGAGGACUGCUCCUUCCCCCGGCAGCCCUAGUCUAGAGAAAGGCAAGGAGGAUGUGGCCCUCCCCAGUUUCAAGACAGAAAAACUAGGCCUCACCUCCCAUUGGAACUGGAAAGACCAGCCAAGCUCAUCCAGAUGGCGGAGGCUGAAAGCAGGGAGUCGCACUCCCAGUUUUCUCCCUCCCAGGCUUGCCUCCUGGGCUGAUAAUGUCACCACCAGACCGCCGCACGCGUGGACAGGGUCUCGGUGAUGGCUCCCCAGCCACCCUAGGGUGCCAGCUCCUUCCUGUUAGUUCCCAAGGCUGCAGCAGGGCUGGGGGAGGCCCGCAGGGUACUUCGGGAGCAAAGCUGAAAGAGGCGCUGUCUCGGGGCUGUGAGGGUGCUCCGACCACCACUGUCUGCAAAUCCUGCACCCUAGCCCCGUCCCUGCCUCACUGUGGCCCCUAGACCUGCCCUGCCUGGACUCGGGGUGCUCACCCAGAGAGAAUUUUGUGCCCGGGGAGCCCCAGCCUGCUGGCCUUCCUGCCUGGGAAGAAGAUAAUGCAAUUGGACUCCGGUUCCAGGCCGUCUGGCUCCAGCGUGCUCGCGAGCCUGUGCACUCAGCAGCCACCAGAAGGGCCUUCCUACCACCCCCCUGGAGGGCUGCCCGUGCCCUGGGCCAAGGACCCCUGGGACACUCGCUCCUGUGCCACACGAACCCUCCCCUGGAACUGCUCCUCCCUGGCGGUGAGAAGGCCCAGAGAGAGGAGCUGCAGGAAAAGCCAGGUGCCUUGGGCUCCAACCUCGGCGCGGCCCCUGCUGCCAGGGAGACCCUCUCCUUCUCAGCCAGCUUAUUCUGGUCCCUCCCUCUGGAACACCUUCCCUAGAGCCCGGCCCGGCACCCUGGAGUCCUACCCGCCGAGGAUAGGCCCAUAGGGUCGGACUGUCAGCACAUAACAAAUGUCUGAUGGUUGAACGAAUGGAAUGAAUGGACUCAUCUCAAAUGACAUCUCUUCGGAGGAGCCUGACUGGCACCCUCCCUCACCAGGGCGCCCCUUGCAGCACGGGCCUUACGGGACUAUAUCAGGCCCACACUGUGCCCAAUGUCGUCAGGCUAGGUGGCACCGCGAGCUCUGGGACUGGCCUGGCUUUGGAUCCCCUUCCCCAGUGCACACUAAGUUCCCCCAGGAAAUGUCACUGGUAUUAAAUGGAAUCCUGCGACCUUGGGGAUGAUCCUCGGUUUCACUGCCUGUGAAAUGGGCUACUACUGGCUCCACUAGCUUCCACCUGUCCUGGCUUCGAGGCCCACCAGCCACACUGCCUGGCUGCAGAACAUAACCACAUUGGGAGACCCUCCUUCAGCCUGGACAAGGACUAGACUCUCUUCCUUGGGUCUGAGGCCACCAGGAUCUGGUUCAGGGCUGAACCCCUCCUGGCCGAGGUGGGAGCUGGACAGGGUUGAAGGUGGGCACACACAGACUUCUGUCCCGUGGUCAUUUCGGUCGGGCCUCUCUCAAAACUUGAUGACAAGGUGUGAGAUGGAAUUUGGGGACCAAAGGCUCUCAGGGGAAGCUCACCCAUUGGGCAAAAGAAACCCCACCCAGUGCUGUCCCUGCUCUGUAUGGGCAUUGUUCCGUUUUCCGUCACCCCCUGCAAACUGGGACCCCGGUCUCCGUUCUCCAACUGCAGGCUCUCCAGAACGGAAUGAGGCCACCCUCAGAAGUUCUGCUGCUCUGCUCAGUGAGGAUCUGGGGACAGUCAGGCCCAUCAGUCAGUGACUCUGGGUCUUCCAGCGGGGGUGGGUACGGAGGGCUGAUGCCAGAGCCCGAGCCAGGUCCCAGGGGACACCCACCUGCAGCACCCACCCGACAGCUGGGGCUCUGGGCACGGAGACGGGAGUCCUGGAGACCAGUGUGGGGCUGGAGGCUGAGCGCCGGGGCUCUCGGAAGGCCACGCUGUCAGGUGGGCCGUGGGGUCGGUGCUCGGCGGCCCACAGGUCCAUGCGGGGCUGGUCGGUCGCGAGAGGACCCCGAAGAGGGCCUCGCCUACCGGCUGGGCCGCCUGUCCUGAGGCCCCGACCAGCCAGUGCCUCCAUCACAGCUUGCAGAACCCUGGAGACGGGAGGCAUGUGCUCAGGGGCCGGGUCUGGGGGCUCCCGGCCUGCCCCGGGGUGGGGAUGACACCUGGGCGGCCUGUCCUUUGAGUGGAAGCCCAGCCUGGCUAAGAUUUCCCUGCGGGUGGCACCCUGACCCCUCUCGGGCCCCACUCUGACCC